UACGUAGGGUGCGAGCGUUGUCCGGAAUUAUUGGGCGUAAAGAGCUCGUAGGCGGUUUGUCGCGUCGGCCGUGAAAACUUGGGGCUUAACUCCAAGCUUGCGGUCGAUACGGGCAGACUUGAGUUCGGCAGGGGAGACUGGAAUUCCUGGUGUAGCGGUGAAAUGCGCAGAUAUCAGGAGGAACACCGAUGGCGAAGGCGGGUCUCUGGGCAGUAACUGACGCUGAGGAGCGAAAGCGUGGGGAGCGAACAGG
rnacentral:rRNA from 1 species